GCAUAUCAAUAAGCGGAGGAAAAGAAACCAACAGGGAUUGCCCUAGUAACGGCGAGUGAAGCGGCAUCAGCUCAAAUUUGAAAUCUGGCUCUUUCAGAGUCCGAGUUGUAAUUUGCAGAGGGCGCUUUGGUGUCGGCAGCGGUCCAAGUUCCUUGGAACAGGACGUCACAGAGGGUGAGAAUCCCGUACGUGGUCGCUGACCUACACCGUGUAAAGCCCCUUCGACGAGUCGAGUUGUUUGGGAAUGCAGCUCUAAAUGGGAGGUAAAUUUCUUCUAAAGCUAAAUACUGGCCAGAGACCGAUAGCGCACAAGUAGAGUGAUCGAAAGAUGAAAAGCACUUUGGAAAGAGAGUCAAACAGCACGUGAAAUUGUUGAAAGGGAAGCGCUUGCAGCCAGACUUGCUUGUAGUUGCUCAUCCGGGCUUUUGCCCGGUGCACUCUUCUGCGAGCAGGCCAGCAUCAGUUUGGACGGUUGGAUAAAGGCCUCUGUCACGUACCUUCUCUCGGGAAGGCCUUAUAGGGGAGGCGUCAUGCAACCAGUCUGGACUGAGGUCCGCGCAUCUGCUAGGAUGCUGGCGUAAUGGCUGUAAGCGGCCCGUCUUGAAACACGGACCAAGGAGUCUAACAUCUAUGC
rnacentral:rRNA from 1 species